AGGAAAAAAAAUCUGAUUUGUCAU
rnacentral:miRNA from 1 species